GUGGGGAAUAUUGGACAAUGGGCGCAAGCCUGAUCCAGCCAUGCCGCGUGAGUGAUGAAGGCCUUAGGGUUGUAAAGCUCUUUCAGUGGGGACGAUAAUGACGGUACCCACAGAAGAAGCCCCGGCUAACUUCGUGCCAGCAGCCGCGGUAAUACGAAGGGGGCUAGCGUUGUUCGGAUUUAUUGGGCGUAAAGCGCACGUAGGCGGAUCGUUAAGUCGGGGGUGAAAUCCUGGAGCUCAACUCCAGAACUGCCUUCGAUACUGGCGAUCUUGAGUCCGGAAGAGGUGAGUGGAACUCCUAGUGUAGAGGUGGAAUUCGUAGAUAUUAGGAAGAACACCAGUGGCGAAGGCGGCUCACUGGUCCGGUACUGACGCUGAGGUGCGAAAGCGUGGGGAGCAAACAGGAUUAGAAACCCGUGUAGUCC
rnacentral:rRNA from 1 species